UGACGGUCCCGAAAAAACUCCGGCUACUCGUGCCAGCAGCCCGGUAAUCGUAGGGAGAAGCGUUAUCCGAUUUACUGGGUGUAAAGGGCGUGUAGGCGGGUCGGUAGUUGGAAGUGAAAUACCGGGGCUUAACCCCGGAACUGCUUUCAAAACUGCUGAUCUUGAGUGAUGGAGAGGCAGGCGGAAUUCCCAGUGUACGGUGAAAUGCGUAAUUUGGGAGGAACACCAGUGGCAAGCGCCUGUGGCAUUAACUGACCUAGGCCGAAACGUGGGGAGCAAACAGGAUUAAUACCCUG
rnacentral:rRNA from 1 species